AUUGAACGCUGGCGGCAUGCCUUACACAUGCAAGUCGAACGGCAGCAUGAUCUAGCUUGCUAGAUUGAUGGCGAGUGGCGAACGGGUGAGUAAUACAUCGGAAAGUGCCCUGUAGUGGGGGAUAACUAGUCGAAAGAUUAGCUAAUACCGCAUACGACCUGCGGGUGAAAGUGGGGGACCGCAAGGCCUCAUGCUAUAGGAGCGGCCGAUGUCUGAUUAGCUAGUUGGUGAGGUAAAGGCUCACCAAGGCGACGAUCAGUAGCUGGUCUGAGAGGACGAUCAGCCACACUGGGACUGAGACACGGCCCAGACUCCUACGGGAGGCAGCAGUGGGGAAUUUUGGACAAUGGGGGCAACCCUGAUCCAGCAAUGCCGCGUGUGUGAAGAAGGCCUUCGGGUUGUAAAGCACUUUUGUCCGGAAAGAAAUCGCACUUACUAAUAUUAGGUGUGGAUGACGGUACCGGAAGAAUAAGGACCGGCUAACUACGUGCCAGCCGCCGCAGUAAUAC
rnacentral:rRNA from 1 species